UUCCCUGAAUCAACAUUAACUGACAAACAUAACUAUUUUUAGAAUUAAAAGAGCUAACAAUGCUUUAAGACAGUGUCUACCUGUAUAUCUCUAAUUAAAUAUACUAAUGGUGAAAAAAAUCAAGGACGUUUUACUUUGCCUAUUGUAUCAAAUCACACCAAACCACAACAAGCUCACAGCAAAGAAGUAAAAUACACAGAGUUCUCUAACGUUAUAAAUAGUGAAUGUAAUGAACAAUUAAGUAAGAAA
rnacentral:lncRNA from 1 species